rnacentral:rRNA from 1 species
GAUGAACGCUGGCGGCGUGCCUAAUACAUGCAAGUCGAGCGAACGGACGAGAAGCUUGCUUCUCUGAUGUUAGCGGCGGACGGGUGAGUAACACGUGGAUAACCUACCUAUAAGACUGGGAUAACUUCGGGAAACCGGAGCUAAUACCGGAUAAUAUUUUGAACCGCAUGGUUCAAAAGUGAAAGACGGUCUUGCUGUCACUUAUAGAUGGAUCCGCGCUGCAUUAGCUAGUUGGUAAGGUAACGGCUUACCAAGGCAACGAUGCAUAGCCGACCUGAGAGGGUGAUCGGCCACACUGGAACUGAGACACGGUCCAGACUCCUACGGGAGGCAGCAGUAGGGAAUCUUCCGCAAUGGGCGAAAGCCUGACGGAGCAACGCCGCGUGAGUGAUGAAGGUCUUCGGAUCGUAAAACGCUGUUAUUAGGGAAGAACAUAUGUGUAAGUAACUGUGCACAUCUUGACGGGACCUAAUCAGAAAGCCACGGCGAACUACGU